rnacentral:tRNA from 1 species
GCCUCGGUGGCGAAAUAGGUAGACGCACGGGACUUAAAAUCCCGCGGUGGUGACACCGUACCGGUUCGAUUCCGGUCUGAGGCA